rnacentral:rRNA from 1 species
AGGGUUUGAUCAUGGCUCAGAACGUACGCUGGCGGCACGCCUAACACAUGCAAGUCGAACGAAGUAGCAAUACUUAGUGGCAGACGGGUGAGUAACAUGUAGGUAUCUACCCUUUGGCCUGGAAUAACACGAGGAAACUUGUGCUAAUACCGGAUAAGUCUUUACGGAGAAAGCUUUAUGCACCAUUGGAUGAGCCUGCACUUGAUUAGUUUGUUGGUAGGGUAAUGGCCUACCAAGACUUUGAUCAAUAGCUGAUUUGAGAGGAUGAUCAGCCACAUUGGGACUGAGACACGGCCCAAACUCCUACGGGAGGCAGCAGUGGGGAAUCUUGCACAAUGGAGGAAACUCUGAUGCAGCGAUGCCGCGUGAGUGAAGAAGGCCCUUGGGUUGUAAAGCUCUUUCGUCGGGGAAGAAAAUGACUGUACCCGAAUAAGAAGGUCCGGCUAACUUCGUGCCAGCAGCCGCGGUAAUACGAAGGGACCUAGCGUAGUUCGGAAUUACUGGGCUUAAAGAGUUCGUAGGUGGUUGAAAUAGUUGGUGGUGAAAUCCCAGAGCUUAACUCUGGAACUGCCAUCAAAACUUUUCAGCUAGAGUUUGAUAGAGGAAAGCAGAAUUUCUAGUGUAGAGGUGAAAUUCGUAGAUAUUAGAAAGAAUACCAAUUGCGAAGGCAGCUUUCUGGAUCAUUACUGACACUGAGGAACGAAAGCAUGGGUAGCGAAGAGGAUUAGAUACCCUCGUAGUCCAUGCCGUAAACGAUGUGUGUUAGACGUUGGAAAUUUAUUUUCAGUGUCGCAGCGAAAGCGAUAAACACACCGCCUGGGGAGUACGACCGCAAGGUUAAAACUCAAAUGAAUUGACGGGGACCCGCACAAGUAGUGGAGCAUGUGGUUUAAUUCGAAGAUACGCGCAGAACCUUACCAACACUUGACAUGUUCGUCGCGACUUUAAGAGAUUAAAGUUUUCGGUUCGGCCGGACGAAACACAGGUGCUGCAUGGCUGUCGUCAGCUCGUGUCGUGAGAUGUUGGGUUAAGUCCCGCAACGAGCGCAACCCUCACUUUUAGUUGCCAUCAUUAAGUUGGGCACUCUGAAAGAACUGCCAGUGAUAAGCUGGAGGAAGGUGGGGAUGACGUCAAGUCCUCAUGGCCCUUACGUGUUGGGCUACACACGUGCUACAAUGGUAUCUACAACAGGAAGCGAAACGGCGACGUUAAGCAAAUCCUUAAAAGAUACCUCAGUUCGGAUUGCACUCUGCAACUCGAGUGCAUGAAGCUGGAAUUACUAGUAAUCGUGGAUCAGCGUGCCACGGUGAAUGCGUUCCCGGGUCUUGUACACACCGCCCGUCACACCAUGGGAGUUGGUUCUACCUUAAGGCAAGGUUUUAAACCCUUGACCACGGUAUAGUCAGCGACUGGGGUGAAGUCGUAACAAGGUAACCGUA